rnacentral:rRNA from 1 species
CACGAGUACUUGUACUUGGUGGCGACCGGCGCACGGGUGCGUAACGCGUAUGCAACCUACCUUAUACUGAGGGAUAGCCCAGAGAAAUUUGGAUUAAUACCUCAUAGUAUCAUUUGAAGGCAUCUGAGAAUGAUUAAAGAUUUAUCGGUAUAAGAUGGGCAUGCGUAAGAUUAGUUAGUUGGUGAGGUAACGGCUCACCAAGACUACGAUCUUUAGGGGUUCUGAGAGGAUUAUCCCCCACACUGGUACUGAGACACGGACCAGACUCC